rnacentral:rRNA from 1 species
UACGUAGGGUGCGAGCGUUAAUCGGAAUUACUGGGCGUAGAGCGUGCGCAGGCGGAUUGUUAAGCAAGAUGUGAAAUCCCCGGGCUUAACCUGGGAAUGGCAUUUUGAACUGGCAGUCUAGAGUGUGUCAGAGGGGGGUGGAAUUCCACGUGUAGCAGUGAAAUGCGUAGAUAUGUGGAGGAACACCAAUGGCGAAGGCAGCCCCCUGGGAUAACACUGCCACUGUGGCGCGAAAGCGUGGGUAGCAAACAGG